UUUGAUCCUGGCUCAGAACGAACGCUGGCGGCAGGCCUAACACAUGCAAGUCGAACGCUGUAGCAAUACAGAGUGGCAGACGGGUGCGUAACGCGUGGGAAUCUGCCCCUCGGUUCGGAACAACAGUUAGAAAUGACUGCUAAUACCGGAUGAUGACGAAAGUCCAAAGAUUUAUCGCCGAGGGAUGAGCCCGCGUAGGAUUAGCUUGUUGGUGAGGUAAAGGCUCACCAAGGCGACGAUCCUUAGCUGGUCUGAGAGGAUGAUCAGCCACACUGGGACUGAGACACGGCCCAGACUCCUACGGGAGGCAGCAGUGGGGAAUAUUGGACAAUGGGCGAAAGCCUGAUCCAGCAAUGCCGCGUGAGUGAUGAAGGCCUUAGGGUUGUAAAGCUCUUUUACCAGGGAUGAUAAUGACAGUACCUGGAGAAUAAGCUCCGGCUAACUCCGUGCCAGCAGCCGCGGUAAUACGGAGGGAGCUAGCGUUGUUCGGAAUUACUGGGCGUAAAGCGUACGUAGGCGGUUAUUCAAGUCAGAGGUGAAAGCCCGGGGCUCAACCCCGGAACGGCCUUUGAAACUAGAUAGCUAGAAUCUUGGAGAGGUUAGUGGAAUUCCGAGUGUAGAGGUGAAAUUCGUAGAUAUUCGGAGGAACACCAGUGGCGAAGGCGACUAACUGGACAAGUAUUGACGCUGAGGUACGAAAGCGUGGGGGGCAAACAGGAUUAGAUACCCUGGUAGUCCACGCCGUAAACGAUGAUAACUAGCUGUCCGGGCACUUGGUGCUUGGGUGGCGCAGCUAACGCAUUAAGUUAUCCGCCUGGGGAGUACGGUCGCAAGAUUAAAACUCAAAGGAAUUGACGGGGGCCUGCACAAGCGGUGGAGCAUGUGGUUUAAUUCGAAGC
rnacentral:rRNA from 1 species